GGAUGUGAGGGCGCUCUGGCUGUGACAUCUGUCACCCCAUUAAUAGCCAGGGCUGAUUCGGCUGAUCUGGCUGGUUAGGCAGGUAUCCCCUUCCUCCCUCAACGCUCCAUGUGCGUCCCUCCUGAAGCUGCGCACUCAGUUGAAGAGGACGACCACUUCCGAUAGAGGAGGACCGUUCCUUGGUCAAGGGUAUAUGAGUAGUUGUGCUCCCCUGCUAGAAACUUCAAACAAGCUCUCAUUUGUACAGAAGCUUGCAACCAGUUUGCCUUACAUCUCAGAGGAGACUUGGUACUUGGACCUUUCAACAAUGCUAAAACU
rnacentral:snRNA from 1 species